AUUGAACGCUGGCGGCAGGCCUAACACAUGCAAGUCGAGCGAGCGGCGGACGGGUGAGUAAUGUAUGGGGACUGCCCGAUAGAGGUGGAUAACUACUGGAAACGGUGGCUAAUACAGCAUACUGUCGGAUAACCCAUAUGGGAUUAGCUAGUAGGUGAGGUAAUGGCUUACCUAGGCGACGAUCCCUAACUGGUCUGAGAGGAUGAUCAGCCAAAAUGGGAAUUGGACACGGCCCAGACGCCUACGGAGGCAGCAGUGGGGAAUAUUGCACAAUGGGCGAAAGCCUGAUGCAGCCAUGCCGCGUGUAUGAAGAAGGCCCUAGGGUUGUAAAGUACUUUCAGUCGGGAGGCGUUACCGACAGAAGAAGCACCGGCUAACUCCGUGCCAGCAGCCGCGGUAAUUC
rnacentral:rRNA from 1 species